GACGAACCGUGCGAACGUUAUUCGGAAUCAUUGGGCUUAAAGCGCGUGUAGGCGGAUUCGUGCGUCUGUCGUUGAAAUCCCCCGGCUCAACCGGGGAAGUGGCGCGGAUACGACGAGUCUGGAGGGGCAUAGGGGGACCUGGAACUUCCGGUGGAGCGGUGAAAUGCGUUGAGAUCGGAAGGAACGCCCGUGGCGAAAGCGAGGUCCUGGACGUUUUCUGACGCUGAGACGCGAAAGCCAGGGGAGCGAACGGG
rnacentral:rRNA from 1 species